AUGGAACUCUGUCGCCCCCGAUGCCGACCUGUUUUGCACCAUCUACUUCCGCCUCAAGGCUACCGCGCGACGGCUGCAAGGUUGGAGCGCGCGCAACAUUGGCCAUGUCUCCACGCAAAUCAGGCUUGGCUGCGGCGUGAGCUCAAGCGCGCCUACCUCGGGCUCUCUUCUCUGGAACGCUCGAUCGCCCGCGAACGGGCUCGCUUCUGCUGGCUCAAGGCUGGCGACACCAGCAUAGCGUUCUUCAAAAUCCAUGCGGCGCAUCGUAGCAAGAAGAAUUCCAUCUCCUGCCUGCGCGUGGGAGACACGACCGUGUCGGACGACGAGGCCAUUGCUCGAGUAGCCUUCGAUCAUUUCACCUCCAUCAUCGGCCGUGCUGUCGCACGUGAUUUCAGCCUAAACCUUGAGGCCCUGGACCCCCGUCACUUUGACCUUACUGAGCUCGACCGACCAUUCUCCGAGGAGGAGAUAUGGGCUGCUGUGAACUCGCUCCCGCUCGGCAAAGCGCCCGGCCCAGAUGGGUUCACCACUGAGUUCCUUCGGACAUGCUGGGACACUAUCAAGGGAGACACUUGCGUCGUUUUAAACAAGAACUACUCGAUGAAUGGUUGUGGCUUUCAGAAGCUAAACCAAGCUCUGAUCACCCUACUCCCCAAGAAGGCCGAUGCUUCCAGUUUGUUUCACUAUCGCCCGAUUAGUCUGAUCCACCUUGUUGCGAAGCUUUUUGCCAAGGUUCUGUCCCUACGCCUUGCCCCGAAGAUGGCGAGCCUCGUAUCUACAAACCAAAGCGCUUUUAUCGCCGGUCGCGGCGUCCAUGACAACUUCCUUCUGGUCCAGCAGACGGCGCGUUUGCUGCACAACCUCAAAGCGCCUCAGAUCCUCCUCAAGCUCGACAUUGCUCGUGCUUUUGACACGGUCUCCUAG
rnacentral:rRNA from 1 species